rnacentral:rRNA from 1 species
CCUACGGGAGGCAGCAGUGAGGAAUAUUGGUCAAUGGACGAGAGUCUGAACCAGCCAAGUCGCGUGAGGGACGACUGCCCUAUGGGUUGUAAACCUCUUUUAUAAGGGAAGAAUAAAUGCUACGUGUAGCAUGAUGCCUGUACCUUAUGAAUAAGCAUCGGCUAACUCCGUGCCAGCAGCCGCGGUAAUACGGAGGAUGCGAGCGUUAUCCGGAUUUAUUGGGUUUAACGGGUGCGUAGGCGGUUUUUUAAGUUAGUGUUUAAACGUCGGGGCUUCACCUUGAUUUGCCAUUAAAACUGUAAGACUCGAGUUCAGACGAGGUAGGCGGAAUAAGUUAAGUAGCGGUGAAAUGCUUAGAUAUAACUUAGAACUCCGAUAGCGAAGGCAGCUUACCAGACUGCGACUGACGCUGAAGCACGAGAGCGUGGGUAGCGAACAGGAUUAGAUACCCGAGUAGUC